rnacentral:rRNA from 1 species
GGAGGGAGCGAACGUUGUUCGGAUUUACUGGGCGUAAAGGGCGCGUAGGCGGUUUUGUAAGUCAGAGGUGAAAUGUCUCGGCUCAACCGAGGACCUGCCUUUGAAACUGCAGAACUUGAGAUCGUGAGAGGAGACUGGAAUUCCUAGUGUAGCGGUGAAAUGCAUAGAUAUUAGGAAGAACACCAGUGGCGAAGGCGAGUCUCUGGCACGAUACUGACGCUGAGGCGCGAAAGCUAGGGGGAGCGAACGGGAUUAGAUACCCCGGUAGUCCUAGCCGUAAACGAUGGGUACUAAGUGUUGGCCCGAUCGACCCGGUCAGUGCUGUAGCUAACGCGUUAAGUACCCCGCCUGGGGGAGUACGACCGCAAGGUUG